rnacentral:rRNA from 1 species
AACGGAGCACAGUAAGACUUCCUCUUAUGGGUGGCGAGUGGCGGACGGGUGAGGAAUACAUCGGAAUCUACUUUUUCGUGGGGGAUAACGUAGGGAAACUUACGCUAAUACCGCAUACGACCUUCGGGUGAAAGCAGGGGACCUUCGGGCCUUGCGCGAUUGAAUGAGCCGAUGUCGGAUUAGCUAGUUGGCGGGGUAAAGGCCCACCAAGGCGACGAUCCGUAGCUGGUCUGAGAGGAUGAUCAGCCACACUGGAACUGAGACACGGUCCAGACUCCUACGGGAGGCAGCAGUGGGGAAUAUUGGACAAUGGGCGCAAGCCUGAUCCAGCCAUACCGCGUGGGUGAAGAAGGCCUUCGGGUUGUAAAGCCCUUUUGUUGGGAAAGAAAAGCAGCGGGCUAAUACCUUGCUGUCUGACGGUACCCAAAGAAUAACACCGGCUACUUCGUGCCACAANCGCGGUAUACAAGGUGCAACGUUACUCGGAAUUMUGGGCGUAAACGGCGUAG